UACGAAGGGGCUAGCGUUGUUCGGAAUUACUGGGCGUAAAGCGUGCGCAGGCGGCUGCUCAAGUCAGGGGUGAAAGCCCAGAGCUCAACUCUGGAAUUGCCUUUGAGACUGAGUGGCUUGAGUACGGGAGAGGUGAGUGGAAUUCCCAGUGUAGAGGUGAAAUUCGGUAGAUAUUGGGAAGAACACCGGUGGCGAAGGCGGCGUCACUGGCCCGUA
rnacentral:rRNA from 1 species